GAUGAACGCUGGCGGCGUGCCUAAUACAUGCAAGUCGAGCGAACAGAUGAGGAGCUUGCUCCUCUGACGUUAGCGGCGGACGGGUGAGUAACACGUGGAUAACCUACCUAUAAGACUGGGAUAACUUCGGGAAAGCGGAGCUAAUACCGGAUAAUAUAUUGAACCGCAUGGUUCAAUAGUGAAAGACGGUUUUGCUGUCACUUAUAGAUGGAUCCGCGCCGCAUUAGCUAGUUGGUAAGGUAACGGCUUACCAAGGCAACGAUGCGUAGCCGACCUGAGAGGGUGAUCGGCCACACUGGAACUGAGACACGGUCCAGACUCCUACGGGAGGCAGCAGUAGGGAAUCUUCCGCAAUGGGCGAAAGCCUGACGGAGCAACGCCGCGUGAGUGAUGAAGGUCUUCGGAUCGUAAAACUCUGUUAUUAGGGAAGAACAAAUGUGUAAGUAACUAUGCACGUCUUGACGGUACCUAAUCAGAAAGCCACGGCUAACUACGUG
rnacentral:rRNA from 1 species